AAGAUGAUGUGGAAGUUCUUAAGAAACGCCUGGACCUGGAAAGCCUAGUCCCUUUUCCUGUGUUUCUCUAGGAAGAAAGAUGCUGCAGUAGGCUUUGUGUGAAUUAAAGGCCAGGACUCAUCCUACUCUGAAAUUUGGCCAAGUGACCACCUUGUCCCACACUCAAGUAUAGACUCUCAAGACCUUAACCUUAUGAUGACAAGAAGAGGCAAAUAAAGGAAAAGAGUCAAGAAUUCCAGAGAAAAUGAUAUUCUUGGAGCUGCUGGUAUCCUUCGAGCUUCGUAUGACUUUGAAAGAAAAAAAAUACCCACUUAAUCCUGAGUGCCUCCAAAUCAUAUUUGCUGAUAAACCCUGGAUUUAAGUUGUAAACAAAUUAAAGAUUAAAAACUUUCCUUUGGCA
rnacentral:lncRNA from 1 species